CCCAGCCCCUGGUUUCUUGGUCUUGUCCCCAGACUGGACAGCCAGGCCAGGCCCCUUCUUCUGACCCUUGGUGGAGAGUUCCACGUUGAUGCGCUUGCCCUUCACUUCUUUGCCGUUGAGCUGCGCGAUUGCGGCUUUGGCAUCUGCUUCCUUCUCCAUGUGAACAAACGCGUAGUCUUUCACCACGUCACACUCGAUGACGCGUCCGCGGCGCUCGAAGAGGCUGCGCAGUUCC
rnacentral:lncRNA from 1 species